GUUUCGAGCACUACAAACAAUUGACCUGGUCUUUCCUGGUGCCAUAGGUACAUUAAAGGAACAAAUCCAUAUCACCCACUUCUGAUCACCCACGAUUGGAAGCUUUGUGUCGAUCUCUAUUUUAUUCAUUGAGUAACAAGGUGCGACAAAUUUUGCAGUAAUUUUUGGUUUAUCAUUGUUCGCACCAGCAAAACCCCAAGGUCCAGAUGCCUCCAUCUUGAAUGGCAAGGGCUUUGCUCUGUCUCGCCUUCCAGUAACCUUGUGGUGUGCAAAAUCAAUGUGAGAAGGAUCAGAGACGUUCUCCAUGAGAGUGUCAUAGCCAUAAAACAAAUCACGCUGAAUUGUCACAGUUGCAAACUCAGGCUUAUCAAAAUCUUCAGGCAACAUGGGCGGCUUUGUUGCCUGAGCUCUCUCCCAUCCAUUUUCAUCAGGCCAAACAAAGAGUAAUCCUUGAGAAACCAUAGUAGGAAAUCUAGUAGCACAAGCUCUUGGAGACUGAAAAGCUUUAGCUUCAGGUCCUUGAGAUGCAGCUUGAGGUAUCCUUGUACAAGAACCACAUCCAUUAAAUGACCAUCCAUGAUAUGAACACUGCAAAUCACCAUUUUCAUCUAAUCUCCCUUCAGAUAAAGGAGCAAGACGAUGAGGGCAUUUGUCAUCCAAAGCAACCCACUGAGAUCCAGAUUUAUCAAACCAGAUAACUAUAUCACGAUUCAGUAGCUGAAACGGUGUGGGUAAACUCGGGUCGAGAUCUUCCACUAAUGAAACUGGGUACCAAUGAUCUCUCCAAGAGAAUUUCGACGACGAAUCUUGUUCAUCAUUUUCUGUAUCUUCAAUAUCACUAGAUUUUGAAUCUAGCUUCUCUUCUUCUUCAGUAGCUGUUGUUGUUGUUGGAGGUGCAGCUACUCUAAGAGGAGAUGAAAUUAGCGUAUUUUUUUUCCUUGUAAUUUGAAGAAAAUUAUGAGGUUUGAAAGGUAGUGAAGACUGUAAGGAAGAUGAAAUUGAAAGAAUUUGAGGAGUUGGUAGUAACAGAGAAGAAACCAUUAUUGAGUUAAUCAAUGUUUUGU
rnacentral:misc_RNA from 1 species